UACGGAGGAUGCGAGCGUUAUCCGGAUUUAUUGGGUUUAAAGGGUGCGUAGGCGGGCUUUUAAGUCAGCGGCAAAAAUUCGGGGCUCAACCCCGUCCGGCCGUUGAAACUGGGGGUCUUGAGUGGGCGAGAAGAAGGCGGAAUGCGUGGUGUAGCGGUGAAAUGCAUAGAUAUCACGCAGAACCCCGAUUGCGAAGGCAGCCUUCCGGCGCCCUACUGACGCUGAGGCACGAAAGUGCGGGGAUCGAACAGG
rnacentral:rRNA from 1 species